rnacentral:rRNA from 1 species
CGCGGCCUAUCAGCUUGUUGGUGAGGUAAUGGCUCACCAAGGCGUCGACGGGUAGCCGGCCUGAGAGGGUGACCGGCCACACUGGGACUGAGACACGGCCCAGACUCCUACGGGAGGCAGCAGUGGGGAAUAUUGCACAAUGGGCGAAAGCCUGAUGCAGCAACGCCGCGUGAGGGAUGACGGCCUUCGGGUUGUAAACCUCUUUUAGCAGGGAAGAAGCGAAAGUGACGGUACCUGCAGAAAAAGCGCCGGCUAACUACGUGCCAGCAGCCGCGGUAAUACGUAGGGCGCAAGCGUUAUCCGGAAUUAUUGGGCGUAAAGAGCUCGUAGGCGGUUUGUCGCGUCUGCUGUGAAAUCCCGAGGCUCAACCUCGGGCCUGCAGUGGGUACGGGCAGACUAGAGUGCGGUAGGGGAGAUUGGAAUUCCUGGUGUUGCGGUGGAAUGCGCAGAUAUCAGGAGGAACACCGAUGGCGAAGGCAGAUCUCUGGGCCGUAACUGACGCUGAGGAGCGAAAGGGUGGGGAGCAAACAGGCUUAGAUACCCUGGUAGUCCACCCCGUAAACGUUGGGAACUGGUUGUGGGGUCCGUUCCACGGAUUCCGUGACGCAGCUAACGCAUUAAGCUCCCCGCCUGGGGAGUACGG